CUUUCUUUGGCCACUUUUAUGGUUAGUAAUGUCAUCUCCUUAGUAAGGGAAGAUCCUGGCUCCCCUCCUUCCCCCAGCAAACUACAGUGGUUGUCUUACAGAGAGUUUGUAGUAGACAGAGUAAUGGUGCUCCAGAGAUAUCCACAUUCUGAUCCCCAGAAUCUGUGAAUAUGUUACCUUACAUGGCAAAAGGAGCUCUGGAGAUGUGGUUAAGUUAAGGAUCUUGAGAUGGGAAGAUUAUCUUGGAUUUAUACAGGCGGGUCCAAUGUAAUCAUAAGGGUUUUUAUAAGAAGAAGGUGAGAAGGUCAGAGGCAGAGAAGGAGAUGUGAUGGUGGAAGCAGAGGUGGAAGUGAUGUUCUUUAAAGAUGGAGGACGGGCCUGCAAGGCAAGGAAUGCAGGCAGCCUCUAUAAACUGGCAAAGACGAGGAAACGGAUUCUCCCCUGGAAACUGCAGAAGAGAUGCAGCUCUGCCAACACCUUGAAUUUAGCCAUAAAACCCAUUUUGGACUUCAGAUCUCCAGACCCAUAAGAAUGGAGGAGGAGAGAGGAGUGAAGAAAAGGAAAAAGGCAAUAACAUUUAUUGAUGCU
ensembl:lncRNA